rnacentral:rRNA from 1 species
AAUGAACGUUGGCGGCGUGGAUUAGGCAUGCAAGUCGAACGGGCCGCAAGGCCAGUGGCGGAAGGGUGAGUAAGGCGACGGUAACCAACCCCAUGGUCGGGUAUAGCCGCGGGAAACUGCGGGUAAUCCCCAGCGACGUCCGCGUCGGGCAUCCGAUGCGGACCAAAGUCCUGGCGCCGUGGGACGGGCCGUCGUGGUAUUAGGUCGUUGGCGGGGUAACGGCCCACCAAGCCUAUGAUGCCUACCGGGCGUGCGAGCGUGGCCCGGCACACUGGGACUGAGACACUGCCCAGACUCCUACGGGAGGCUGCAGUCGAGAAUCUUCGGCAAUGGGCGCAAGCCUGACCGAGCGACGCCGCGUGGAGGACGAAGGCCUUCGGGUUGUAAACUCCUGUCGAGGGGGAGGAAGGCCGGGUGACACCGGCUUGACCGAUCCCUGGAGGAAGCACGGGCUAAGUUCGUGCCAGCAGCCGCAGUAACAC